AACGUCGCUGGCGGCACGCUAACACUGCAAGUCGAACGAAGUAGCAUACUUAGUCGCAGACGGGUGAGUAACAUGUAGGUAUCUGCCCUUUGGCCUGGAAUAACACGAGGAAACUUGUGCUAAUACCGGAUAAGUCUUUACGGAGAAAGCUUUAUGCACCAUUGGAUGAGCCUGCACUUGAUUAGUUUGUUGGUGGGGUAAUGGCCUACCAAGACUGUGAUCAAUAGCUGAUUUGAGAGGAUGACCAGCCACAUUGGGACUGAGACACGGCCCAAACUCCUACGGGAGGCAGCAGUGGGGAAUCUUGCACAAUGGAGGAAACUCUGAUGCAGCGAUGCCGCGUGAGUGAAGAAGGCCCUUGGGUUGUAAAGCUCUUUCGUCGGGGAAGAAAAUGACUGUACCCGAAUAAGAAGGUCCGGCUAACUUCGUGCCAGCAGCCGCGGUAAUACGAAGGGACCUAGCGUAGUUCGGAAUUACUGGGCUUAAAGAGUUCGUAGGUGGUUGAAAAAGUUAGUGGUGAAAUCCCAGAGCUUAACUCUGGAACUGCCAUUAAAACUUUUCAGCUAGAGUAUGAUAGAGGAAAGCAGAAUUUCUAGUGUAGAGGUGAAAUUCGUAGAU
rnacentral:rRNA from 1 species